UACAGAGGGUGCGAGCGUUAAUCGGAAUUACUGGGCGUAAAGGGUGCGUAGGUGGUUAGAUAAGUUGGAUGUGAAAUACUCGGGCUUAACCUGGGGGCGGCAUUCAAUACUGUUUAGCUAGAGUCUUGUAGAGGGGGGCGGAAUUUCCGGUGUAGCGGUGAAAUGCGUAGAUAUCGGAAGGAACACCAGUGGCGAAGGCGGCCUCCUGGACAGGUACUGACACUGAGGCACGAAAGCAUGGGGAGCAAACAGG
rnacentral:rRNA from 1 species